GAAUAGCAGUAAAGCUCACGCAGUCUCAGUGUCCCGCUCUGAGUUGUCGCCUUCUGGAGUCGCAGGAGUGGUAUAUAGAAUAUGUUUGUGAUAGGGCCAAUUCCUGUAUUGGCCUUGCUCUUCACAACUAUCUUACCCGAAGUUGCUGAAACAGAAAGCGUAGUGAAUGGCAUGACGUCGAACGUGGAAGGAUUCUCUGGACUGGACGGCCGCCUACACAGCCCUGCCGUGGAAGACCGCGUUAAAACGCGAGAGUUAAAACCCAAUGAACCUCCGAUUCGGUGUGCAGCGCUGUGUGUCCUUCCGCCAUUUCUUGUUUUCGUUUUUCAUCUGCGCUGUUUCUUCAGGACCGGACAGCUUUCGUCAUGGAGACUUGGGUCAAUCAUUAUCAUACCAGUCAAAGAAACCACCUAUCAUGGCUCGUGGAAUUAUGGGAAAGCAGCUCAUUUGUGAGAUCGUCGGAGGAUAUUGCUUGCAAAAGUGCACUAGGUUGAAAACCCGCAGGACCGACGCAAGCUGCAUCGGUAACCUCAAAUGCUGCGUGAGCACAAAACAGCGCUCAAGUCAUCUGCGAUAGAGGUUACAAAGAAAGGGAAUAUGAUAAUUGCAAAAUGAGCUGGGUAUGAUUGUAUGGUCUAUCACGAAUCAUAGAAUAGUAGAGAUUUCAAACAAAAUAUACGCUAAUAUCUUCAUAUAAAUUUACAGAAAGAUAAUAAAUGUACUGA